rnacentral:tRNA from 1 species
CGCGGGGUGGAGCAGAGGUAGCUCGUUGGGCUCAUAACCCGAAGGUCGUCAGUUCGAUUCUGACCCCCGCCA